rnacentral:rRNA from 2 species
UGGGGAAUAUUGCGCAAUGGGGGAAACCCUGACGCAGCAACGCCGCGUGAAGGAUGAAGGCCCUCGGGUUGUAAACUUCUGUUGGAUGGGAAAAAAAGCCGCAAGGUCUUGAUGGUACCAUUCGAGUAAGCACCGGCUAACUACGUGCCAGCAGCCGCGGUAAUACGUAGGGUGCAAGCGUUGUUCGGAAUCACUGGGCGUAAAGAGAGCGUAGGCGGGAUUGUAAGUUAGGAGUUUAAUGCAUGGGCUUAACCCAUGAUCUGCUUUUAAUACUGCAGUUCUUGAGUAUGGGAGAGGGUGAUGGAAUUCCAGGUGUAGCGGUGGAAUGCGUAGAUAUCUGGAAGAACACCAGUAGCGAAGGCGGUCGCCUGGCCCAAUACUGACGCUGAGGCUCGAAAGCUAGGGGAGCAAACAGG